UACGUAGGGUGCAAGCGUUAAUCGGAAUUACUGGGCGUAAAGCGUGCGCAGGCGGUUCGGAAAGAAGGAUGUGAAAUCCCAGGGCUCAACCUUGGAACUGCAUUCUUAACUACCGAACUAGAGUAUGUCAGAGGGGGGUAGAAUUCCGCGUGUAGCAGUGAAAUGCGUAGAUAUGCGGGGGAAUACCGAUGGCGAAGGCAGCCCCCUGGGAUAAUACUGACGCUCAUGCACGAAAGCGUGGGUAGCAAACAGGAUUAGAUACCCUGGUAGUCCACGCCCUAAACGAUGUCAACUAGCUGUUGGGCCCUUCGGGGCUUAGUAGCGUAGCUAACGCGUGAAGUUGACCGCCUGGGGAGUACGGUCGCAAGAUUAAA
rnacentral:rRNA from 1 species